rnacentral:rRNA from 1 species
UACAGAGGUCUCAAGCGUUGUUCGGAUUUAUUGGGCGUAAAGGGUGCGUAGGCGGUUUGAUAAGUCUGGUGUGAAAUCUAUGGGCUCAACCCAUAGUCUGCACUAGAAACUGUCGGGCUUGAGUAUGGGAGAGGUGAGUGGAAUUUCCGGUGUAGCGGUGAAAUGCGUAGAUAUCGGAAGGAACACCUGUGGCGAAAGCGGCUCACUGGACCAUAACUGACGCUGAUGCACGAAAGCUAGGGGAGCAAACAGG